CCUUCGCCGAGCUCCGGUCACCAUCUCCAAAUAAAGGGUUAUCUGAUAACAUUGUAAGCAAUAACCAGCUUCAAGUUUUAUACCAUCCCGAUUACGCCGACAACGUUCCUCUUGAGGACUAUGAGGAAGACAGGGACAACAUCUGGACAACCGCUUCCACAUUCAUUAUCCUGUUCUUCCUGAGCAUUUCCUACGAUGCUGCCGUAACUCUGGUGAAGGUCAAGUGACGAUUGAAUGUUGAAAACCGCGUAUUUAUCUGACCGGUCUAUGGACGUCGUUGUAACCAAGGAAAAUGUUCAAAUUUGAAGCGGACAAUAUCAUAAGCAAUAGUUCAUUCUGUCCAUCUGACUUGUUUGAUAUUGCCUAGUUGCCUUUAGUAUAGCGUUAAUGUAUCAAACUAUUUUAAUCGUAAUUUGAAUAUCAUGUGAUCUCGGUAGACGUUUCUUUUUUUCUUUUUAUCUUUUUUUCUAUACAUUCACUUUUUCUUUAGCAUGGGUCAUAUGUGUGUCCUUCCGGUGUUGAAUGCCGUUGUAUAGAAAGUCAGGAACGCUGUUUGCGUGAGAUCGUAAACUUCAUGUUAAAUUCAGACACACUAUCUAUGCCUGUCAUUAUUCUAAAAACUUCUACCGGGUCUCCCUUCAACCUCCGACGCGCCAAAGAAAACAAUCCAUGUUUGCCAACAUCUUCUUUUCGCUAAUAAUUCUACCCCCUGCAGCAUUCUAGUAAACCUCUUCUG